GCCACAGGCAUUUUCUCCUAUAGUAUGAGUCUCAUUGCAGCCUGAGGGGUUAUCGGAUGUUCACGGCAACAAUCGGCCGUCUUCUAGUGCCAUUGGUACCAUUUCCUUCACAUUAUGUGAAAUCCCUUUGUUGCGGCUGCUAAAACACCGUCAGGAAACGCAGCUAAAACCUUCGCUCCACACUAUUGCAGGUAUCACUGGCACAUGGAGAAAGGGGUUGUCAUCAUUCAUGCUGGCAGACCCAUUUGGAUAUCAUGGCUAUUGCCUUCUUCCUCAAUUCCUUUUGUUCUAACCUUCUUGCUUUUCAGCCUCAUUAUAUCCCUUGGCAUCGCUGGACCCAACUAAAACCUCUGCUAAGGCACUGUUGUGGAGUGUUGCCUCAUUUUCUCCUCCCAACAUCCAACGCCUAUUAAAACCCUUUUCCCAACUCUCCUUCCAACUAUUUCACUCCAAGUACUCUCUCUCUCUCGGUUUUUUCCUCUACAUCUCAUUUUUUCUCUCCAUACCUACGGUAGCCAUGGGAAUGAAUGGGCUUGGAGUGAGUGAGAAUUGGUUGUUUUCUUGCAGACUACCUUUUUUUUUAUUUUUUAGACAUUUUAAAAUUUUUCAAUGAUUUUGUAGGCAUAGAACAUUAGAAAUUUACUACCAGAUUCAUGCUGAAAAUUGAAUCCAUUAAUAGGUUAUAAUGCAUGUUUCAGAAUAGGCUUAUAUUGCAACGUGUCAGAGAUAUGAACACUUCUUUUGUUGUUUCAUUGUGUAUGAAUGGGUUCAUUCUUCUCCAAGUUAAAAUUUUAUAAAGAAAAGAGGGUAAUUUCCAUCAAUUCCAUCAAAUCCCAUCAAACUAGGAAAGAUGUUUUCAGACAUCUUUAGCAAAUCCCAUCACACACUCAGCAAAAAUGAAACGAGCAGCAAAUUUCCUUUCCAUUUUUCCCGGAAACAUCUUUUCAUAAACUUAUUUCCAUUCCAAGAUUUUUGAAAUAUCAAAUUGUAUCUAAGAGAAAAAAACUGACACGGUUGAUGGAUAAUAUAAUUUAUAUAACUAUGUGACUGAAGGAGUCAGCCCAUGACUGAAGGAGUCCCAUGACACAGAUAAACAAAAGUGCAGGUGGUUCCUAGUCAAUUGUGCAUGUUAGCUAUUGUAUCACUACUUUGUUAUGAAAUUGGUACAUUUGAUCAAUACUUUGUUGACUAAUCAAUGUUUGUGCAGGUUUGGUUGUGUGUGCACAUCCUUAGUCAUCAUCCUAAUCAUGUGUCUACCAUCUCAUGCAUCAAUGCAUACCCAAGUUUCGCAAAGUGGGAAGGGAUGAGGAGAAAAAAACUAUGGAUAGAUCAACAUCUCCAAGGGGGAUUCCUCGUGCAUUGAUAAUGAACCAAUACAUUUAUUCGUAGUUGGUAUUUGGUGUGUAGUUAAAUAAGUACAAUUGAAGUGAUUGAAACAUCAUUCAAAUGGCGAUGUUUUGUUAUGUA